rnacentral:rRNA from 1 species
GACAGAGGGUGCAAACGUUGUUCGGAUUUACUGGGCGUAAAGCGCGUGUAGGCGGCUUUGCAAGUCGGAUGUGAAAGCCCACGGCUCAACCGUGGAAGUGCAUCCGAAACUGCAUGGCUUGAGUCUCGGAGAGGAAGGUGGAAUGCUUGGUGUAGAGGUGAAAUUCGUAGAUAUCAAGCAGAACACCUGCGGCGAAGGCGGCCUUCUGGACGAUGACUGACGCUGAGACGCGAAAGCGUGGGUAGCAAACAGG